rnacentral:rRNA from 1 species
CAAUAGCGUAUAUUUAAGUUGUUGCAGUUAAAAAGCUCGUAGUUGGAUUUCUGCUGAUCGCUGUCGGUCUGCCGUCAGGUGUGUACUGGCAGUGUUUGGCAUCUAUUCGAGAUUGGGUGUCCACUUGAUUGUGUGCACUCGAUGUCGGAGCUAAUACUUUGAGAAAAUUAGAGUGUUCCACGCAGGUGCGUGCCUUGAAUACUGCAGCAUGGGAUAUUGGAAGGCCGAUUGAGCUUUCUUGUUGGUUCUCGGUUUGAUCGGAAUGAUUAAUAGGGAUAGUUGGGGGCAUUCGUAUUCAACUGUCAGAGGUGAAAUUCUUGGAUUUGUUGAAGACGGACUACUGCGAAAGCAUCUGCCAUGGAUGUUCUCAUUGA